AUUCCAGCUCCAAGAGCGUAUAUUAAAGUUGUUGCAGUUAAAAAGCUCGUAGUUGGAUUUCUGGUACAAUGCGCCUGGCCCGCGGCAGCAAUGCCUGUGAGUGCCGGUGCGCGUUGGCCAUCCUUCUAGAAAACGUUUCUACCAUUAACUUGGCUGGACUCGCGAUCUAGAUCUUUUACUUUGAAAAAAUUAGAGUGUUCAAGGCAGGCUUUUGCUGUGAAUACAUUAGCAUGGAAUAAUAAUCUAGGACUUCGGUUCUAUUUUGUUGGUUUCUAGAAUUGAAGUAAUGAUUGAUAGGGAUAGUUGGGGGUGCUAGUAUUGGCCGGCCAGAGGUGAAAUUCUUGGAUUCGGUCAAGACUAACUUAUGCGAAAGCAUUCACCAAGGAUGUCUUCAUUA
rnacentral:rRNA from 1 species